UACAGAGGGUGCAAGCGUUGUUCGGAAUUAUUGGGCGUAAAGCGCGUGUAGGCGGUUCUCCAAGUCCGUUGUGAAAGCCCCGGGCUCAACCUGGGAAUGGCAGUGGAAACUAGGGGACUGGAAUCUGGCAGAGGGGGGUGGAAUGCCGCGUGUAGCAGUGAAAUGCGUAGAUAUCUGGAGGAACACCGGUGGCGAAGGCGGCAUCCUGGACCGGUAUUGACGCUGAGGCGCGAAAGCCAGGGGAGCAAACGGG
rnacentral:rRNA from 1 species